UUGAAGUCUGACCCAGCGUCAUUGAAGAGACUCACAUGUCUGACUCUAUUUUUAGUAAUAGUUAAUAUUAGGCCACUGGGAAGGUGAUGGCCUAAUGGUAUUUUUGCUGGGCUAUUAAUCCAGAGACCCAGGCAACGUUCUGGGGAUUUCGGUUUGAAUCCUGCCAGAUGGUGAAUCUUGGAAGAGUCUGUGAUAACCAUGGAUCCAUUGUCGAUUGUCAGAAAAACCCUUCUAGUUCACUAAUGUCCUUUAGGGACAUCAGCAGAUCAAGUAGAAUCAUGGAAUUAUUGACACCACCUUCUGGACUUCUAUGUUUAACAGCAGGCCUCCCAUUAGGAAAUUCCUGGUAAGAAGAAACAAUUUAUGAUCAACAUGAUCUGGCUGAGCAUCCAUCGCUUUGAGAGAAUCCUACAAUCAGGUAUUACUACCACAAUUACUGAAACUGUAUUAGCUGUGCUUUUGGAGUGAAAAACCACCGUCAUUCCCAGGCCCGCAAUUACUGUAUUUUCCAUUAAAAAA